GGUUGUAGCUCAGAGGUAGAGCACCUGCCUAGCAUGUGUGAGGCACUGGGUUUGAUUCUCAGCACCA
rnacentral:tRNA from 1 species